CUGCGGGNUGCCUUCCAUGCAAGUCGAACGGCAGCACGGACUUCGGUCUGGUGGCGAGUGGCGAACGGGUGAGUAAUGUAUCGGAACGUGCCNAGUAGCGGGGGAUAACUACGCGAAAGCGUAGCUAAUACCGCAUACGCCCUACGGGGGAAAGCAGGGGAUCGNAAGACCUUGCACUAUUNGAGCGGCCGAUAUCGGAUUAGCUAGUUGGUGGGGUAACGGCUCACCAAGGCGACGAUCCGUAGCUGGUUUGAGAGGACGACCAGCCACACUGGGACUGAGACACGGCCCAGACUCCUACGGGAGGCAGCAGUGGGGAAUUUUGGACAAUGGGGGAAACCCUGAUCCAGCCAUCCCGCGUGUGCGAUGAAGGCCUUCGGGUUGUAAAGCACUUUUGGCAGGAAAGAAACGUCAUGGGUUAAUACCCCGUGAAACUGACGGUACCUGCAGAAUAAGCACCGGCUAACUACGUGCCAGCAGCCGCGGUAAUACGUAGGGUGCAAGCGUUAAUCGGAAUUACUGGGCGUAAAGCGUGCGCAGGCGGUUCGGAAAGAAAGAUGUGAAAUCCCAGAGCUUAACUUUGGAACUGCAUUUUUAACUACCGAGCUAGAGUGUGUCAGANGGAGGUGGAAUUCCGCGUGUAGCAGUGAAAUGCGUAGAUAUGCGGNAGAACACCGAUGGCGAAGGCAGCCUCCUGGGAUAACACUGACGCUCAUGC
rnacentral:rRNA from 1 species